rnacentral:rRNA from 1 species
UACGAAGGGGGCUAGCGUUGUUCGGAAUCACUGGGCGUAAAGCGCACGUAGGCGGCCAACUAAGUCGGAUGUGAAAUCCCCAGGCUCAACCUGGGAACUGCAUCCGAUACUGGAUGGCUUGAAUUCGGGAGAGGGAUGCAGAAUUCCAGGUGUAGCGGUGAAAUGCGUAGAUAUCUGGAGGAAUACCGGUGGCGAAGGCGACUACCUGGCCUGUUCUUGACGCUGAGGCGCGAAAGCUAGGGGAGCAAACGGG